AGUUAGCCGGUCCUUAUUCUUACAGUACCGUCAAGCUGGUAUACAUACCAGUGUUUCUUCCUGUAUAAAAGUAGUUUACAACCCAUAGGGCAUUCUUCCUACACGCGGCAUGGCUGGAUCAGAGUCUCCUCCAUUGUCCAAUAUUCCUCACUGCUGCCUCCCGUAGGAGUCUGGUCCGUGUCUCAGUACCAGUGUGGGGGAUCUCCCUCUCAGGACCCCUACCUAUCGCUGUCUUGGUAAGCCGUUACCUUACCAACUAACUAAUAGGACGCAUAGCCAUCUUUUACCGAUAAAUCUUUAAUUAUAAACUGAUGCCAGUCUACAAUACCAUGAGGCAUUAAUCUUCAUUUCUAAAGGCUAUUCCUCUGUAAAAGGUAGGUUCUAUACGCGUUACGCACCCGUGCGCCGGUCGUCAUCUGUGCAAGCACAAUGUUACCCCUCGACUUGCAUGUGUUAAGCCUGCCGCUAGCGUUCAUCCUGAGCCAGGAUCAAACUCU
rnacentral:rRNA from 1 species